rfam:Asian citrus Psyllid, Diaphorina citri - Florida Strain, whole genome shotgun sequence.
GCCUAGGUUGGGUUAGUUGGUAGUGCGUCUGCCUUGUAAGCGCUAGGCCGCGGGUUCGAUUCCCGCCCGGGGCG